rnacentral:rRNA from 1 species
CCCUUAGAUGUUCUGGGCCGCACACGCGCUACACUGAAGGAGGCAGCGUGUAUUCCUGGAUCGAAAGAUUUGGGUAACCCGCGAAUCUCCUUCGUGCUAGGGAUUGAGGUUUGCAAUUAUCCUUCAUGAACGAGGAAUUCCCAGUAAGUGCAAGUCAUAAGCUUGCGCUGACUACGUCCCUGCCCUUUGUACACACCGCCCGUCGCUACUACCGAUUGAAUGAUUUAGUGAGGACUUCGGACUGGGACCGAUGCGGCUUUCGGGCUGCGUCGGUAUUCUGGAAAGAUGUCCAAACUGUAUCAUUUAGAGGAAGUAAAAGUCGUAACA